GAGGAAUUGUGUUGGGAUUUUGAUAAGGAACACAUUGAAUCUGUAGAUUGCUUUUGCAGCAGAAUCCGGAAGAAGAGAACUUACAUGGUUGCGCAGCAGAGAUGCCUCUUUGCUGUCUCAGCCUGGAUGCCUGUGGUAACAGUUACAGUAGGAACGCCCCACCUGGAAGUCUUCCAGUGGACAUCAUUGUAUCCUGGGCACCCACAAUUUCCUGGUCUUCUCCAAGUUCUGGAUAGUCAACAGGGCGAUGACAAACUGAAGGACAGAUUCCAUCACGUUUGUCUUGGUGAGCCAGUGAAUUUGCUGAGCGUUGUUUACUGAAGCUUGAGUAACCGUUUCUUACGCAAGCCAAGAUGACCGUUGGAGCUGUUACAUCACCAACUAUCCACUCUCCUGGGGUUGACCAUUCACAGAACCCAUGCCGGUAGCAUCCCUACACGAUUGGCCAGCAUCCCCACUGCCCUCUCCUCCCUUCCAUCAAUGAGAGACUGUUCCUAGAACCUCCGGAAGGGACCUCUGAGCUUUACAUCUCACCUUGUUUUAAAAGAUUCUUGUGACUUUCAUGAGCCCCGUGUGGGUCUUUUCUCCCUCCACGAGGGAAUAUUUUAAUUCAGUAACAGCUAUACAUCACAUUUAGCUACCAUUAGCCUGAAGCACAUUAAAAAAAUAAAAAUGGAUCGGAAUAGAAAAUUCACCUGCAUACAGCCAAAUAUCUCACAUACCUCUGUGGAUAAACAGCUGUGAAGGCUGUGGUAAUAGAAGUUUGUGUAAAGUGUUGGCUUAACAAAAAGAAGGUGGA